GAUCCUGGCUCAGGAUGAACGCUAGCGACAGGCUUAACACAUGCAAGUCGAGGGGCAGCGGGGUGUAGCAAUACGCCGCCGGCGACCGGCGCACGGGUGAGUAACGCGUAUGCAACUUGCCUAUCAGAGGGGGAUAACCCGGCGAAAGUCGGGCUAAUACCGCAUGAAGCAGGGAUCCCGCAUGGGAAUAUUUGCUAAAGAUUCAUCGCUGAUAGAUAGGCGUGCGUUCCAUUAGG
rnacentral:rRNA from 1 species